AUCCAGAUAACGAGUCCCAAGCAGGACGAAAAGUACAUCCUGGAU
rnacentral:hammerhead_ribozyme from 1 species